CAGCAGCAAUUUUUAGCAUCGUGAAAUGGAAGUCGUCGAUGACGUUGUUGAGAGUAUAGGUCGUCACGUCCCUUUCCUCGAUUUCUGCGGAUCCUCGCGUUCGCCCUCCGCCUUUUUUUCAUCGCUUUCCUUUGGGAGCCUUAAGAGGGCAUCCCAGAGCCAGCCAAACAAAAGGCCAGAACAAGGGAAUUAGAAUGAGAGUCAUUGAUAUCGCGGCGAAAUACCCAAGGAUGACUUCAAACCAAAGAACAGGGUAAAACAAGUGAGAAGUAUUUUGAAUUAGGAACGAGACGCGUAUUUCGUAAUCUUCGUUCAUGACGUGGGGCUCAGGAAGGGACGGAGAAUGAAAGAAGGGCAAGGGGGGAUAACACGAGCAUACGCUGGUAUACGGCGGGCUACGCGGUAACAAGAAGGACACCGACCACAGGAGGUCAAUAUCCCUCAUUAGUUGUUAGCACCACUUACCUAUUAACAAUGUAUACCUUAUUAGGAACGCAGAGUUUAUAUACAUCCCGAAACACAGCAAGCAGGCCCCCGGACCAGCAGCUAUGAUUGGAGUCCUUGGAAGUUUAAGGUCAAAAAAGAUUAUCAGAAACAGGAAGUCUACUACUCUGUCAUAUGCGACAACGAAAGCGUGUGCGUAUUUAUGGCAUCGGGUCGAGACGAAUUAAUUAAGGUGCGUCGAUUGAGGCCAAGCGAGGGGAUUUUAGAGACUUGCC
rnacentral:sRNA from 1 species